AAAAAAAACUCAAUUAUACAAAAAAUUAACGUUGUACUCAAUUUUCUCUGUUUCAUUUGUCUCCAAUUUCUGUUCUCUUUCUCCGGUAAGUUCAUCGAAUCUUUGGGGAAAAAAAACAACCUUGAUUUCACCCUGUAAUUUCAUUCUUCAUUUGAUUACUUACACGUUUUGUACUCUUACGUAAAUUACUGUAUAUUAUAAGUAUAAAAAAAUUAAUACUGGCUAAAAAUUCAAUACGAUGGCGAUGUCAAAUGAUUAUGGCAGUGGCACAUUCGAAUCAUAUUAAAAAGAAUAUGCUUUUUCUCAAGGCUCAGUCUUUGACAGUUAUUGUUUCUGAAUUAUGAGUACUUUGUAUAUUGUAUUUCGUGGGUUUCUUGAUUUGUGACCCUAAUAAGCUCAGCACUGAUUAUUUGAGCUGUGUGUAGUUUCUGAUACCAUUUUAUUGAUGGGGUUUGGGUUUGAUUUGUUGGGUAUUCAGCAAAUUUGUUUAUUGUUGUAGUACAUGUUUCCCCUUUUUUGAAUUGUGAUCAUAUAGUAGGUAAAGAUUGGGAAAACGGUUAAAGAUUGGAUUUUUAUGGUGAAGAUUUGGAGAUUUAGGCAAUUUGAUGAAUGGAAUGUAGUAGUGAGGGGGAAAGAUUCAAUCUUGAUAAAUUGGGGUUUUGAUUUUGUGAUGGGGAAAUAAGAUUCUGUAAAGUGGAAGCUUGUUUGGUAGAUAUUGAUAAUUUAUAGAAAAAAUGAAUACUGUGGGGAGAAUAGGUAGCUACAUUGGGAGAGGGGUAAGUAGUGUUUCGGGUACUUUCCAUCCAUUUGGUGGUGCUGUGGAUAUCAUAGUGGUGGAGCAGCCGGAUGGGAGUUUGAAAACAUCCCCCUGGUAUGUUCGAUUCGGGAAGUUUCAGGGAGUUUUGAAGGCAAGAGAAAAGGUGGUUAAUAUAGCUGUCAAUGGCGUUGAAGCCGGUUUUCAUAUGUAUUUAGAUGGUAGGGGACGAGCUUUCUUUAUAAAGGAUGUAGAUAUAGAAGAUGGGGAGUCUUUCUCUUCUUCAUCAUCCUCAGGUGAGGAUGCUGACGGGCAAACCAGUAGUAAGCGGCCAACAAUAUCAAAGAGUUGCAACUAUGAUGCUUCUGAAUCUAAUUCAACUACUCAGAUCAAUGUGAGCGGUGAGAAUGUCUCGGUGAGGGCCAAUUCCCAAAGACCUGGGAUUUUAGGCCGGGUUUUUGGGAGGAAGUCGAUGAAAAAAGACAGGCUUCCUGGGGAAGAAAAUGAUGCCAGUAUUAUGAGGACAGACUCAUUGGAGUGUGCUGAAAUGGCAGCUGAUCUGUUAGAAAUGAAGUGGUCUACUAAUCUUACCCCGAAGAGGUACAACAGAGAUUAUGUCAUACCAGUUGCUUCCCAAGAUAUGUCAAAGGGUGUUAAAGAAGAGGACUUGCAAGCAAGCAACAAGAAAAGUGAUACGAGUUCUCUUGCACAUGAUAGCAUGUUAGACAAUCUUGACUUCCGUGACCCUGCUUGUGAGAAGGAUGAUGGUUCUCAUCCAAGCUUUCAAACUCAAGAGGAGUCUGUCAAGGUAACUGGUAAUGCUGCAAGAGUGUCCAUUGUCCAAGAUAUUGAAGAUUAUGGUCGUGAAGAAAGCUUAAGAAUUUCUGGUGACAGUGGUGAACUAGGCUUAGUUAACGCUGAUCAUGAUGCCGCGGGUGGUACAUUUAUAUCUGAGGUUGCGAGCCCCUGUUCAAAAUUUGUGGAUUCCCCUGAGAUAAAGAAACAUGAUUCUUUUAUAGUUAGCCGUCUUCCCGAGGAGGAACAUGAAAUUGCUGCAGUCCAGUCCUUUUUCUAUUGUGAAACUGACGAGAACUCGACAACAAUGCUGGAUGUUUCAACUGAAGAGUUCACUCAAAACUUGUGUGCUUCUUGUGAUCUUGAAGCUCGUAUGCACACCCAAACAGUCCUCAGUAUGAAUGAUUUAAUGUCAAAGGGAAACUCUCAACCAGAAGAGGAUUUAUUAUUUGAAAAGGAUUCUUCAAAUGGUUUCAAGGUUAUGACCAACAACACUAAUCCAAACUCAAUCUCUAAUUUUUUGGUCUCCGAUAGCGGUUCGUUGAAUAGCUCUGCUGCAGAAACAGAUUUUGGGUGCUUUUUACCCAACUCUUGUUCAAGCACCUCAACCGAUAAAGCAAGAAGUAUAAAAGAUAAAGCAACAGACAAACUUGAAGCCUCUUCCGAGGCUCUUGGAGAUCCUAAUGGAUCUAGUGGCCGUUUGGUCCCACUUCCGGUUUCUUCAUUAGAAGGCUUGGAGGAAGAGCACCUUGUCUUUGGUGAUAUUGAUGAUGGUUACGACACUGUAGGCAGAUACACGGAGUCCACUUCUUCAGAUUAUAAGAAAAAAGAAGAUUACCCCCCUGCAUCUUCAAGCUCUCUUGAUAUCAACGACUACCGAGUACCGAACUAUGAAUCUUGUCCUACUCUGGCCAAGUCCAUCCAAAGUGAUCUGCCGAUUGUUGCAGAUGGAAGAAAACUCAGAACUGUAUUAAGCAAUGUUGACAUUCCUGCCAUAGUUCAGGGUAAUGAAGUUAUGCGGAUGGGCAGAUCUUUACCCAAUAUGUGGUCUCAAAAAAAUGUUUGUCCUUCUAAUCCUGAGGAUUUACAUUCAUCAAUUGUACUACAGACAACAGAAGUUGCUGAGUUCACGGAGGAGGUGAAAAAUAUUUCAGCCACCCCAGAAAUUGAAAGAGAUCCUAGACCCAUUAAUUCAUUGGGUAGUAGUAGCAGCUGGAGAUCAUGGUCUUUUGCUUUCAAGAGAUCAAGAAGCAUGAAAAAUUCUGGCGUGUCCAUGGAUGAAGAUGUAAAUACUGCUAAGGAUAUUUCAAAAAACACAGGUGGUGAUAGAGAAGAAGAUGUGCCAAGGCCAAAGAUUCCUAAGAAGAAAAUAAUGGUAAACACUCCAGAACCUGAACAGCUGGCUACUUUGAAUCUGAAGGAGGGAAAGAACAUAGUUGUUUUCACAUUCUCGACUGCAAUGCUGGGGAAACAGCAGGUUGAUGCAUGUAUAUAUUUGUGGAGAUGGGACUCAAAAGUUGUAAUAUCUGAUGUUGAUGGAACAAUUACAAGAUCUGAUGUUCUAGGACAGUUCAUGCCUUUGGUUGGGAUGGAUUGGUCACAGAUAGGCGUUGCACAUCUCUUUUCGGCCAUCAAGGAGAAUGGAUAUCAUUUGCUUUUCCUAAGUGCACGUGCUAUUUCACAGGCCUAUCUUACCAGACAAUUCCUCUUUAAUCUUAUGCAGAAUGGUGUGGGAUUACCAGAAGGACCAGUUCUUACAUCACCUGAUGGAAUUUUCCCUUCUCUAUUUCGAGAAGUGGUUAGAAGAGCUCCUCAUGAAUUCAAAAUUGCUUGCUUAGAGGAUAUAAAAGCACUGUUCCCUUCUGAUAGGAAUCCCUUUCCCUUCUAUGCUGGUUUUGGAAACAGACACACGGAUGAGAUCAGCUACCUCAAGGUUGGAAUACCUAAAGGGAAAAUCUUUACCAUCAACCCAAAGGGUCAAAUCGUUGUAAAUCGACACAUAGACACAAAAUCAUAUACCUCUCUUCAUAGUCUUGCCACUGCCAUGUUUCCAGCCAUUCUCUCAUGUGAGCAGGAGGAUUUUAACGUGUGGAAUUUCUGGAGACUUCCACCUCCUUAUAUUGAUUGAAAAUUAGCAGAGUCCAUCCUGAACUAUUUUUUUUUGAGAUUCAGGGAUGGUAGCCCCACGGACAACGUAAGAUUCAGCAAAAGGCUAAUGUGUUUUAUACUAUAAAUACAAGUCAAGUUUGAUUGAACCACAAACAAGGCUCAUUGUAUCUGUAUAUUGCACGCGAAAGUGGCUAGUGUAUAUAGUAUUGUCUUAUAUCCGUCAUCUUGGAGGAAGAAAAUCGUGUCCUCAGUUUUCUGAUAUUCUGCUCAUCAAUCAUCGACUAGCCAAUACACUUUGGCCCUACAUAUACACAUACUUAUGAGAAGGAAAAUACGAAAUACGCUCCUUCAAGACGAGUUGAACUUUGUAAAUUGUUGUAGUAUUAGUAUAUGUUAAUGAGGAAAUGUAGAUUUUGUUGUAGUUUGGUGAUUUGUAGAAUCUGUCUUAUAAAGGGACUUACAUGUUGAGGCAAACUGUAUAAAGGUUAAAUUGUCAAUAACACACAUCAAAAUAUUGGACCAGUAUUUUAAGUAAUUUUUUCUGUAUAAAGGCUAUGUUGCUCAAA